rnacentral:tRNA from 1 species
GGUGAGCGUAGCUCAGUUGGUUAGAGCAUCGGGUUGUGAUCCCGAGGGUCGCGGGUUCGAGUCCCGUCGUUCACCCUUC